GACGAACCGUGCGAACGUUAUUCGGAAUCACUGGGCUUAAAGCGCGUGUAGGCGGCCCGGCACGUCAUCGGCUGAAAUCCCCCGGCUCAACCGGGGAAGGGGCCAUGAUACGACCGGGCUGGAGGCCGGUAGGGGGCGCCGGAACUCACGGUGGAGCGGUGAAAUGCGUUGAGAUCGUGAGGAACGCCCGUGGCGAAAGCGGGCGCCUGGACCGGGCCUGACGCUGAGACGCGAAAGCCAGGGGAGCGAACGGG
rnacentral:rRNA from 1 species